rnacentral:rRNA from 1 species
UGGGGAAUCUUGCACAAUGGGGGAAACCCUGAUGCAGCGACGCCGCGUGAGCGAUGAAGGUUUUCGAAUCGUAAAGCUCUGUCCUAUGGGAAGAUAAUGACGGUACCAUAGGAGGAAGCCCCGGCUAACUACGUGCCGGCAGCCGCGGUAAUACGUAGGGGGCGAGCGUUGUCCGGAAUUACUGGGCGUAAAGGGUUCGCAGGCGGCAUGACAAGUCCGAUGUAAAAGGCGAAAGCUCAACUUUCGUAAGCAUCGGAAACUGUCAAGCUUGAGUGAAGGAGAGGCAAGGGGAAUUCCUAGUGUAGCGGUGGAAUGCGUAGAUAUUAGGUGGAAUACCGGUGGCGAAGGCGACUUGCUGGACUUCAACUGACGCUGAGGAACGAAAGCGUGGGUAGCAAACAGG